rnacentral:rRNA from 1 species
UACGGAAGUGGCUAGAGUUGUUCGGAAUUACUGGGCGUAAAGAGCGCGUAGGCGGCUUACCAAGUUGGGGGUGAAAUCCCGGAGCUCAACUCCGGAACUGCCUUCAAAACUGGUAGGCUCGAGUCCGGAAGAGGGGCGUGGAAUUCCCAGUGUAGAGGUGAAAUUCGUAGAUAUUGGGAAGAACACUGGUGGCGAAGGCGGCGCCCUGGUCCGGUACUGACGCUGAGGCGCGAAAGCGUGGGGAGCAAACAGG